CAGCCGCCACGGUAAUACGAAGGGGGCUAGCGUUGCUCGGAAUUACUGGGCGUAAAGGGAGCGUAGGCGGAUCGUUAAGUUGGGGGUGAAAGCCCGGGGCUCAACCUCGGAACUGCCUUCAAUACUGGCGAUCUUGAGUAUGAGAGAGGUGUGUGGAACUCCGAGUGUAGAGGUGAAAUUCGUAGAUAUUCGGAAGAACACCAGUGGCGAAGGCGACACACUGGCUCAUUACUGACGCUGAGGCUCGAAAGCGUGGGGAGCAAACAGGAUUAGAUACCCCCGUAGUCCCUGUCUCUUAUAC
rnacentral:rRNA from 1 species